rnacentral:rRNA from 1 species
CCAAUAGCGUAUAUUAAAGUUGUUGCAGUUAAAAAGCUCGUAGUUGAAUUUCGGGAUCAAUGCGUCGGUCGUGCCUUCGGUACGUACUAGCGUCAUUGAUUCCUCCCUUCUGAAGAACCGUGAUGUCAUUAAUUUGGUGUUACGGGGAAUCAGGACUGUUACCUUGAAAAAAUUAGAGUGUUUAAAGCAGGCUAACGCUUGAAUACAUUAGCAUGGAAUAAUGAAAUAGGACGUUCGAACCUAUUUUGUUGGUUUCUAGGAUCGACGUAAUGAUUAAUAGGGAUAGUUGGGGGCAUUAGUAUUCAAUUGUCAGAGGUGAAAUUCUUGGAUUUAUUGAAGACUAACUACUGCAAAAGCAUUUGCCAAGGAUGUUUUCAUUGAUCAAGAACGAAAGUUAGGUGAUCGAAGACGAUCAGAUACCGUCGUAGUCUUAACCAUAAACUAUGCCGACUAGGGAUCGGAUGAUGUUAAUUUUUUAAUGACUCAUUCGGCGCCUUACG